UACAGAGGUCUCAAGCGUUGUUCGGAUUCAUUGGGCGUAAAGGGUGCGUAGGUGGCGGGGUAAGUCAGGUGUGAAAUUUCGGAGCUUAACUCCGAAACUGCAUUUGAUACUGCCUUGCUUGAGGACUGGAGAGGAGACUGGAAUUCAUGGUGUAGCAGUGAAAUGCGUAGAGAUCAUGAGGAAGACCAGUGGCGAAGGCGGGUCUCUGGACAGUAACUGACGCUGAGAAGCGAAAGCGUGGGGAGCGAACAGGA
rnacentral:rRNA from 1 species